rnacentral:lncRNA from 1 species
UAGUUUGCUUUCUUGUGCUCUCAAGGGUUUUUUGGUCUUUUUUCUCUUUCUUUUAUUUUAAGCCAUAUUUAAUAAUAAUCUGUCAUGUGCUUUCAAUGAUUUUUUUUGUUGGUUAUUUUUACUUUUUUAUUUUAUAAAAUCUUGAUUCAUCGAGUAUUAUACUCCGUCAUUCCCAUUGAUAAUGGUUCAUUACUAUUCGGCACGGCUAUUAAGAAAAAAGAGUAAUUAAAAGAUAAAAAUGAUAGAAAGUGGUAGAGCCUUCAACUUUUUGUGAGACAAGGUGAUUUUCUUUUUUGAAAUAGGCC